rnacentral:rRNA from 1 species
GACGAACCGUGCGAACGUUGUCCGGAAUCACUGGGCUUAAAGGGCGCGUAGGCGGGCUGGCAAGUCCGGGGUGAAAUCCUCCAGCUUAACUGGAGAACGGCCUCGGAUACUGCCGGCCUGGAGGCGGGUAGGGGCGGGCGGAACUCUGGGUGGAGCGGUGAAAUGCGUUGAUAUCCAGAGGAACUCCGGUGGCGAAGGCGGCCCGCUGGACCCGGUCUGACGCUGAGGCGCGAAAGCCAGGGGAGCGAACGGG